rnacentral:rRNA from 1 species
CCUACGGGAGGCAGCAGUGAGGAAUAUUGGGCAAUGGGUGAAAGCCUGACCCAGCAACGCCGCGUGGAGGAUGAAGGCCCUAUGGGUUGUAAACUCCUGUGAGAGGGGAAGAAUGUCCCGCUUCAGGCGGGAUUGACGGUACCCUCAGAGGAAGGUCCGGCCAACUACGUGCCAGCAGCCGCGGUAAUACGUAGGGACCGAGCGUUGUCCGGAAUCAUUGGGUGUAAAGGGUCCGCAGGCGGAUGUGUAAGUCGGAGGUGAAAUCUUCCCGCUCAACGGGAAAACUGCUUUCGAUACUGCACGUCUUGAGUACGGGAGAGGGUGGUGGAAUUCCUGGUGUAGCGGUGAAAUGCGUAGAUAUCAGGAAGAACACCGGUAGCGAAGGCGGCCACCUGGCCCGUUACUGACGCUCAGGGACGAAAGCGUGGGGAGCAAACAGGAUUAGAUACCCCUGUAGUC